rnacentral:sRNA from 1 species
GCUGGGUGUGAUAGCUCACACCUGUAAUCCCAGUGACUUGGGGAGCUGAGGCUGGAGGAUUACAACUUCAAGGCCAGCCUAAGAGACUUAGAGAGACCCUGUCUUAA